rnacentral:rRNA from 1 species
UACGAAGGGGGCUAGCGUUGUUCGGAUUUACUGGGCGUAAAGCGCACGUAGGCGGAUCGAUCAGUCAGGGGUGAAAUCCCAGAGCUCAACUCUGGAACUGCCUUUGAUACUGUCGAUCUGGAGUAUGGAAGAGGUGAGUGGAAUUCCGAGUGUAGAGGUGAAAUUCGUAGAUAUUCGGAAGAACACCGGUGGCGAAGGCGGCCCACUGGUCCGGUACUGACGCUGAGGUGCGAAAGCGUGGGGAGCAAACAGG